rnacentral:rRNA from 1 species
UACGAAGGGUGCAAGCGUUACUCGGAAUUACUGGGCGUAAAGCGUGCGUAGGUGGUUCGUUAAGUCUGAUGUGAAAGCCCUGGGCUCAACCUGGGAAUGGCAUUGGAUACUGGCGACCUAGAGUGCGGUAGAGGGGUGUGGAAUUCCCGGUGUAGCAGUGAGAUGCGUAGAUAUCGGGAGGAACAUCUGUGGCGAAGGCGACACCCUGGACCAGCACUGACACUGAGGCACGAAAGCGUGGGGAGCAAACAGG